rnacentral:rRNA from 1 species
GACGAACGCUGGCGGCGUGCUUAACACAUGCAAGUCGAACGAAGUGGCGAACGGGUGAGUAACGCGUAAUCAACCUGCCCUUCAGAGGGGGAUAACAGUUGGAAACGACUGCUAAUACCGCUUACUGACGGAGGUGUUUGCGCCUGAUUAGCUAGUUGGCGGGGUAACGGCCCACCAAGGCGAUGCUCAGUAGCCGGGAUGAGAGGAGGAACGGCCACAGUGGGACUGGGAAACGGCCCAGACUCCUACGGGAGGGAGCAGGGGGGAAUCUUCCGAAAUGGACGAAAGUGUGACGAAGCAACGCCGCGUGAGUGAGGACGGCCUUCGGGUUGUAAAGCUCUGUUAAUCGGGACGCGGUACCGGAAUAGAAAGCCACGGCUAACUACGUGCCAGCAGCCGCGGUAAUAC